rnacentral:rRNA from 1 species
UACGUAGGGGGCAAGCGUUGUCCGGAUUUAUUGGGCGUAAAGAGCGUGUAGGCGGCUUUACAGGUCCGUUGUGAAAACUCGAGGCUCAACCUCGAGACGCCGGUGGAAACCGUAAAGCUAGAGUCCGGAAGAGGAGAGUGGAAUUCCUGGUGUAGCGGUGAAAUGCGCAGAUAUCAGGAGGAACACCCGUGGCGAAGGCGGCAUCCUGGACCAAUACUGACACUGAGGAGCGAAAGCCAGGGGAGCAAACGGG